CCUACGGGUGGCAGCAGUGAGGAAUAUUGGUCAAUGGCCGGAAGGCUGAACCAGCCAUGCCGCGUGAAGGUCAGUGCCCUAUGGGCGUUAAACUUCUUUUGUGCGGGAGCAAUAAUGGUCACGUGUGGCCAGACGAGAGUACCGUACGAAUAAGCAUCGGCUAACUCCGUGCCAGCAGCCGCGGUAAUACGGGGGAUGCAAGCGUUAUCCGGAUUUAUUGGGUUUAAAGGGUGCGUAGGCUGUGAGGUAAGUCAGCGGUGAAAUGCACCCGCUCAACGGGGUGAAGUGCCAUUGAUACUGCCUGGCUGGAAUGCGGAUGCCGUUGGAGGAAUGUGUGGUGUAGCGGUGAAAUGCAUAGAUAUCACACAGAACACCGAUUGCGAAGGCAUCUCACGAAGCCGCGAUUGACGCUGAUGCACGAAAGCGUGGGUAUCAAACAGGAUUAGAUACCCUUGUAGUC
rnacentral:rRNA from 1 species